rnacentral:rRNA from 1 species
AGCGGCGUCACCCCACUGCAGCCUGAUCACGUCCGAUCACUGAAGCUCAGGAAGGCGGAGCCUGGUCAGUACUCGGAUGGGAGACCUUGAAGUAAAAACAGGCUGAUGCCGUUC